UACGUAGGGUGCAAGCGUUGUCCGGAAUUACUGGGCGUAAAGGGCGCGUAGGCGGGGAGGUAAGUCGGGUGUGAAAUCCCUCGGCUCAACCCGAGGAACUGCGCCCGAGACUGCCUUUCUUGAGUCCGGAGAGGAAGGUGGAAUUCCCGGUGUAGCGGUGAAAUGUGUAGAGAUCGGGAGGAACACCGGUGGCGAAGGCGGCCUCUGGACGGUG
rnacentral:rRNA from 1 species